GAGAUGUUAGUAAAAUAAUUACAUAACCUUGUCAAGGCUAUAUUACAGGCGAAAACCCUGUACAUCUCA
rnacentral:tRNA from 1 species